rnacentral:rRNA from 1 species
CUAGUAACGGCGAGUGAAGCGGCAACAGCUCAAAUUUGAAAUCUGGCCUUCGGGUCCGAGUUGUAAUUUGUAGAGGAUGCUUUUGGUGAGGUGCCUUCCGAGUUCCCUGGAACGGGACGCCAUAGAGGGUGAGAGCCCCGUCUGGUUGGACACCGAUCCUCUGUAAAGCUCCUUCGACGAGUCGAGUAGUUUGGGAAUGCUGCUCUAAAUGGGAGGUAUAUGUCUUCUAAAGCUAAAUAUUGGCCAGAGACCGAUAGCGCACAAGUAGAGUGAUCGAAAGAUGAAAAGCACUUUGAAAAGAGAGUUAAAAAGUACGUGAAAUUGUUGAAAGGGAAGCGCUCAUGACCAGACUUGGGCUUGGUUGAUCAUCCAGGGUUCUCCCUGGUGCACUCUUCCAGUUCAGGCCAGCAUCAGUUCGCUGUGGGGGAUAAAGGCUUUGGGAAUGUGGCUCCCUCGGGAGUGUUAUAGCCCAUUGUGUAAUACCCUGUGGUGGACUGAGGUUCGCGCAUUCGCAAGGAU